rnacentral:rRNA from 1 species
UGAACGCUGGCGGCGUGCUUAAUACAUGCAAGUCGAACGAAGACAGUAGCAAUAUUGUCUGAGUGGCGAACGGGUGAGUAACGCGUUGGUGACCUGCCCCGAAGAGAGGGAUAACAGUCCGAAAGGACUGCUAAUACCCCAUACGGUCAUCAGGGUUAGAUACUUGAUGAUUAAAGGAGUAAUCCGCUUUGGGAGGGGCCUGCGUCCCAUCAGCUAGUUGGUAGGGUAAUGGCCUACCAAGGCAAUGACGGGUAGGGGACCUGAGAGGGUGGCCCCCCACACUGGCACUGAAAUACGGGCCAGACACCUACGGGUGGCAGCAGUAGGGAAUAUUGGACAAUGGGCGAAAGCCUGAUCCAGCAACGCCGCGUGCACGAUGACGGCCUUCGGGUUGUAAAGUGCUUUUAAGGGAGAUGAGAAAGGACAGUAUCCCUUGAAUAAGCCUCGGCGAACUACGU